rnacentral:lncRNA from 15 species
AUGCCUUACAUGUUACUGUCAUUAAUCUACAGCAGCAAAUCAAUAAAGAUUCAUGGAAGGGCUUACAAAAAGGUCAAACACCACUUUGUAAAUGAAUAUAGUUACUCAUUUUACCUGUCACAAAAACUGAUGUAUUUCUGCUUUACAGUUGCAUCAGAUGAAACUGAACAAACACAGGACCCAUCAGGAGUAACAGCAAAACCAAUACCAGCAACUGAACCAAAAACAGAAACUGCAACAACCCCAAAGGCAGAACCAUCAACAUCCCCAAAAGCAGCACCAUCGACAUCCCCAAAAGCAGCACCAUCGACAACCACAGAAGAAGCGCCAUCGACAACCACAGAAGCACCAAAACCUACUGUCGUUGUUCCUGAUAGUGUCAACAACACAUCUACUAAGAAUGCAGCAACUUCGCGUCCAGCUGUACCAAUUACUACAUCAGCAGAAGGCCACAAGAAUAUGGUCACCUCACCGCCAGGAAUUGAGUCUACAUCCAGUAAAACUUUGGGAAAUAAAACUUUGCAAACAAGAUCUCAUGGGAACCAUUCUCAUAACGUGACAAACAUUGAGACUCCAGGACCUGAUGACAGUACUGAAAAACCCCAAACAAACAAAGGUGCAACUAGUCCUGCCUCCCCAGGGAUGACAAAACCCUCAGGUGGAAAGCCUGGAAAUAACAUGACUGACAAAAGGCUGUGGUGGAUUCUGUUGCCUGUCCUCCUGGUUGUAGCUGCUGCGAUGAUUGUCCUCAGGUUCAAAUGCAAGAAGAUCCACGAUCACACAGAAACCAUCGAUACUGGAACUGAGAACGCGUCUUUUCAGAGCAGACCUGAAAGCACCAAAGAUGGUGUCAUGCUCCUCGGCGUGAAGUCGUCAGGCGGAGAAGAAAAUGCUGCUGCAAGAUAAAAAAGAAGGACUGAAACAUCAAGAUCAGCCAGCGGAUGAGUCACACCUGUCGCCCACACGCUGAUGGUCUGGAGGAGCUGUUUAGAUGUUUGAUUUCUUUUUUGUGAAACAUUUUGUGAGGCCAGGAACAGCAGGUUUUGUGUAUGAUUCUUCAUGUAUGAAGCAGAAAAGUGUUGGAGAGCGGGUUUAUUUUAUGUAUGAUUCUGUAUGCUGAAACCAGUAUUAUAAAGCAGCGUGUGUGACUGUGAUCAUAUAUAAAGAAUAAAAGAACUUAACACAGUAAAUCUCUUUGAUAGCUAAAUACCGCAAGCACACAAACCAUUGCUUGUGGAAUAUAGUAAAUAAAAACGUAACCUAUACACCCUUUAUUUCAGUAUACUGUUGACCAAGACAAACCUAAAUAUAACUGCAUAGCUAAUUUCUGUCUACAUGCUGGGCCACAAGACACAUUUUCUGUACAGUACACUGACCUCAGAUCUAGCACAUAUUUGAUGUAAUGAAUCACUAUUCACGUCAUAGUUUUAUAAUUAUCUUUUUGUUUCGUUUAUCUACUGUUUUGUAGAUUAUGUUUUGUGUGUCACCAAAAAAAAAAAACUGGAACUGGCUCAUUUGAGGUGUACUCCAUUUUAACUUUCUAUGUAUUUCAUUAAAGCAUUUCUUAAAAGGAGGUAGUUAAAUAUUCCACGGGGCUUCGCACAGCGUGUCUGUGUGAGCCUUUAGCUGAACUCAAAGGUGGAUUUGCAUUAACAGUGUUUCUUUUCAGCAAAUACAACACUCAAGCUCAAGGACUAAGUAAAGCGGGCGCAGAAGGUUGUAUUUAAAGACACUGGAACUGUUUAUGGCUGGAAUUUGUAGUUCUCAGUUUCAACAAUAAAUCACUAGAAAAUAAUUUGGUUGUGCAGCUUCAGUUCAUCAAGUUUUGGUCAUAUCUUUAUUUAUUUGGUUCAAUAUCACAUUUUGAAUGACUUAAACUCACACUUCAAAGUUAUAUAAUCUAAUAACACUUUAUUUCAAACAUAUGCCGCAUAUUAAGUCAAUCACAUUACUGACAUUUGACUUUAAAAUCCU